AUUGAACGCUGGCGGCAGGCUUAACACAUGCAAGUCGAGCGGAGAUGAGGUGCUUGCACCUUAUCUUAGCGGCGGACGGGUGAGUAGUGCUUAGGAAUCUGUCUAUUAGUGGGGGACAACAUUUCGAAAGGAAUGCUAAUACCGCAUACGUCCUACGGGAGAAAGCAGGGGACCUUCGGGCCUUGCGCUAUCAGAUGAGCCUAGGUCGGAUUAGCUAGUAGGUGAGGUAAUGGCUCACCUAGGCGACGAUCCGUAACUGGUCUGAGAGGAUGAUCAAUCACACUGGAACUGAGACACGGUCCAGACUCCUACGGGAGGCAGCCGUGGGGAAUAGGGGACAAUGGGUGCAAGCCUGAUCCAGCCAUGCCGCGUGUGUGAAGAAGGUAUUCCGAUUGUAAAGCACUUUAAGUUUGGAGGAAGGGCAAUAAGCUAAUCCCUUGCUGUUUUGACGUUACCGACAGAAUAAGCACCGGCUAACUCUGUGCCAGCCGCCGCCGUAAAAC
rnacentral:rRNA from 1 species